rnacentral:rRNA from 1 species
ACAGCAGCCGCCGCGGGAAUACGUAGGGUACAAGCGUUAAUCGGAAUUACUGGGCGUAAAGCGUGCGCAGGCGGUUAUAUAAGUCAGAUGUGAAAUCCCCGGGCUCAACCUGGGAACUGCAUUUGAGACUGUAUGGCUAGAGUGUGUCAGAGGGGGGUAGAAUUCCACGUGUAGCAGUGAAAUGCGUAGAUAUGUGGAGGAAUACCGAUGGCGAAGGCAGCCCCCUGGGAUAACACUGACGCUCAUGCACGAAAGCGUGGGGAGCAAACAGGAUUAGAUACCCCCGUAGUCCCUGUCUCUUAUAA